rnacentral:rRNA from 1 species
GAUGAACGCUGGCGGCAUGCCUAAGACAUGCAAGUCGUACGAGGCGACCCAUUGAUAGUGGAGUGCUUGCACAAAACUGGAUUUGGAUUUUUCGCCUAGUGGCGGACGGGUGAGUAACACGUGGGUUACCUACCUCUAAGAUUGGGAUAACAAUUGGAAACGAUUGCUAAUACCGGAUAUGUUACUUGUAACGAAAGGAGCCCUUAAAGCUCCGCUUAGAGAUGGGCCUGCGUCGUAUUAGCUAGUUGGUGGGGUAAUGGCUUACCAAGGCGACGAUGCGUAGCCGAACUGAGAGGUUGAUCGGCCACACUGGGACUGAGACACGGCCCAGACUCCUACGGGAGACAGCAGUUAGGAAUAUUCGUCAAUGGGGGAAACCCUGAACGAGCAAUGCCGCGUGAAUGAUGACGGCCCUAUGGGUUGUAAAAUUCUGUUGUUUGGGAAGAACAGUUAGAGUAGGAAAUGGCUCUAACCUGACGGUACCAUUCGAGAAAGCUCCGGCUAACUACGUGCCAGCCGCCGCAGUAAGAC